UGCCCAGUGCCAGAGGAAGAUGAAGGUGGCUGUGCUCGGCGUGGCCCUGCUCUUCUCCAUGCUGCUGUGCACCCCGGCACAGGCCAAGGCACUCCUGGAAGGAACCCAGGAUGAUCUGGAGGAGCUGGACUUGGGCAAGGUCGAGAUCCCGGAGCCGACCGUGG